UACGGAGGGUGCGAGCGUUGUCCGGAAUCACUGGGCGUAAAGCGCACGUAGGCGGAUUGUUAAGUCAGGGGUGAAAUCCUGGAGCUCAACUCCAGAACUGCCUCUGAUACUGGCAAUCUUGAGUCCGGAAGAGGUGAGUGGAACUCCUAGUGUAGAGGUGGAAUUCGUAGAUAUUAGGAAGAACACCAGUGGCGAAGGCGGCUCACUGGUCCGGUACUGACGCUGAGGUGCGAAAGCGUGGGGAGCAAACAGG
rnacentral:rRNA from 1 species